rnacentral:rRNA from 1 species
UACGGGGGGGGCAAGCGUUGUUCGGAAUUAUUGGGCGUAAAGAGCUCGUAGGCGGUUUGUCGCGUCUGCUGUGAAAUCCCGAGGCUCAACCUCGGGCCUGCAGUGGGUACGGGCAGACUGGAGUGCGGUAGGGGAGAAUGGAAUUCCUGGUGUAGCGGUGGAAUGCGCAGAUAUCAGGAGGAACACCGAUGGCGAAGGCAGUUCUCUGGGCCGUAACUGACGCUGAGGAGCGAAAGCGUGGGGAGCGAACAGG